rnacentral:rRNA from 1 species
CGCUGGGCUGUAUUGGAACCACCUGAUCCCAUCCCGAACUCAGUAGUGAAACGAUGCAUCGCCGAUGGUAGUGUGGGGUUUCCCCAUGUGAGAGUAGGUCAUCGU